rnacentral:rRNA from 1 species
UACGAAGGGGGCUAGCGUUGCUCGGAAUCACUGGGCGUAAAAGCGCACGUAGGCGGAUUGCUAAGUCAGGGGUGAAAUCCUGGAGCUCAACUCCAGAACUGCCCUUGAUACUGGCGGUCUCGAGUCCGGGAGAGGUGAGUGGAACUGCGAGUGUAGAGGUGAAAUUCGUAGAUAUUCGCAAGAACACCAGUGGCGAAGGCGGCUCACUGGCCCGGUACUGACGCUGAGGUGCGAAAGCGUGGGGAGCCAAACA